rnacentral:rRNA from 1 species
CGUGAGUAACCUGCCUUGGAGUGGGGAAUAACACAUCGAAAGAUGUGCUAAUACCGCAUGAUGCAGUUGGGCCGCAUGGCUCUGACUGCCAAAGAUUUAUCGCUCUGAGAUGGACUCGCGUCUGAUUAGCUGGUUGGCGGGGUAACGGCCCACCAAGGCGACGAUCAGUAGCCGGACUGAGAGGUUGACCGGCCACAUUGGGACUGAGACACGGCCCAGACUCCUACGGGAGGCAGCAG